rnacentral:rRNA from 1 species
AUACGUAGGGUGCAAGCGUUAAUCGGAAUUACUGGGCGUAAAGCGUGCGCAGGCGGUUUUGUAAGACAGUGGUGAAAUCCCCGGGCUCAACCUGGGAACUGCCAUUGUGACUGCAAGGCUGGAGUGCGGCAGAGGGGGAUGGAAUUCCGCGUGUAGCAGUGAAAUGCGUAGAUAUGCGGAGGAACACCGAUGGCGAAGGCAAUCCCCUGGGCCUGCACUGACGCUCAUGCACGAAAGCAUGGGGAGCAAACAGGAUUAGAUACCCUGGUAGUCCACGCCCUAAACGAUGUCAACUGGUUGUUGGGGAUUUAUUUUCUCAGUAACGAAGCUAACGCGUGAAGUUGACCGCCUGGGGAGUACGGCCGCAAGGUUAAAACUCAAAUGAAUUGACGGGG